rnacentral:lncRNA from 1 species
GUUGCAUUUGAUUAUAUUCAGAUCAAGCAGUCAUUUCUUUCUUUCCUUUUUUUUAAUAGAUUUAUUUACUAUCUCUUUACAGGAGAGAAAUUAGUGGAAGCUUAGGAUAACAUAUUAUCAACUUGUUCCACAAACACAAUUUUCCUGUAUUAGAAGAAUUAUAAACUGUGAAGUUAAAGCUGACAAGUUAUCCUCCCCUCUACCCCAUCCACUGGACCCAUCAACAUGACUUCUGGACCGAAAUUUUUAGAGAAAGGAACAAAAUGACUGAUGGGAAUUCUAGAAGUGUGGCUAAUCCUGGGAGAAAACUAAUGCCCUAAGUCAAUUCCAUUAAGCAGAAUUUUCUCACCCUCACCCAUCCUUCCAAAGCACCAGUCCUGGAUUUAGAAAGUCUUAAUAAUGUUUGAUAUGGUAAUUACAAUGCUUAUUAAAAGGGGUGGCUCUCGUGGUAAUUACUCUAUUAAUAAGAUUCAGUACAGGAUUUUUCCAUUUUGUAUAUACUAUAAAUGGAAAAUGCUUGUUUAUCAGCAUUAUUUACUUGUGGGACACACUACCAAUCUAAUUUCCAAAUAAUAUUAGAAUUUCUAAUAAAAAAGCUUAGGGAAAAAAACCCACGAUUUUGGGCUGGGACAUAGCUGAGUGGUAAAACACUUGCUUUGCAUGCAUGAAGCUGUGAGUUCGAUCCCUAUUUCCAAAAAAGAAAAGACAAGUAAAUUAAUAAAUAAAUCCACCACAUCACAUCUCCCCACAAAAACGCCCACCAUUACAUAUCUUUUUACUGCUUUUAUUCAGAAGACCAAAUAGAAAAGUUCACUUAAAAUCAGGUUAGGCCUAUCCUUAUGAAGCUGAUUAUUGUCUAUUUACCACAUUUACUAUUGGUAAAAUGCACCUCUUCAGAUGUAUCCAUAGAGCACCUACUGAAAUUUUUCCCCAUUGCACAUCCCACAGAUACACAAUCAGAAUGGCAACCACCUAUUUAACUGUUCCUACUGCCUCCAGGCUACCUGAUUCUGAAAUUCCUAGACAUUUCUUCAGACUUUUGGACUGAAGUUCCCGGAAGUCUACUUUCAAUUAGAAUCUGUUAGUGUACAAUGUUAAUUGAGGACCAACUAUUUGCAGAACACUACUGGGGCUCUGGUGAGAGAGAAA